CACACCCUCUCACAUUCAACCUCUUUCUCUCUCUCACACCACAUUUAUUUUCUUUCCUUUAUACACACCCUCACAUACAACCUCUCUCCCCCGACAUACUCUCUCUCACAUGCAACUCCCUUCUCUCCUCUCUCUCUCUCUCUCUCUCUCUUUCUCUUUCUCUCUCUCUCUCUCUCCCUUACACACACCCCCUUUCACUCUCAAACACAACCUCUCUCCCUCACAGCAACAGACCAUCCCUCCCAGACAGCUUCUCACACUCACACAAACCUCUCCCGGUCGUACAGUGUCACACACAGUCUAUCUCACAUGCAGAAACACAAGCCUUUCCCUCCCUCACAGUUUUUCUCCCGGACACACGUAUACAGCUCUCACUCUCUCUCAUACAGGGACCAAGUAUGUCUCUCAGACACUCCUAGUGCCCUCUCUUUCUCUCACAUGCAGUCACUGCCUCUCUAUCUCGACACUGCCCCCCUUUUCUCUACCUCACAACAAAGCUUGCCCCCUCUCCUUGUCUCUUUCUGUCUCUGUCUCUCUCCCUAUCUCUCUGCUUGUCUCUGUCUUUGUCUCUCCCUCCCCAGAGUCUUUCACACUGACACAGCCUUUACACACACACACACACACACUCACACACACAGCCUCCCUUCCUCCCUCUCAUGCUCAGGCACAUGUGUCUGCACAGCCUCAUAUUCAUGACACCAUACAUGCGCACACAUUCCUGACACUAUUUAUGUCCACAGGAGAACAUUUUGCUCCUCCCUGGCAAUGCCAAAGUACCUCAGUCUUUCCCCAGCACACUCCUUGCUUGCCCUGACAAGAGCAGCCUGGGAAUUCACAUGUGAAGCAGCAGUGCCAGGCAGGAGUGGGGUUCUGGAACUUCACAAAGCUUUGACUUGGAAGCAACUGUCAUUCCAGAUCAGAAGGGGUCCCUGACAACGGGCCAGAGGAGCUGCUUCAAAGCACUGAACCAGGCCCCGGGUGGCUUCUGCUCACGUGGCAGUCAUUUACAGCUGACUUACCUUACCUCUCCCAAACUCAUUCCUGGCCCUGCAGUCCGUGUGGCACGAGCCUGAUUUGACCCUGUGACCUCUCACCUUGCGCUGAGCCUUCUGUUCCCCUCUCCUUCUGGCCACCCUGAGAGACCACAUUGCUCAUGGGAGACUUGGCAUGAAGCACAGCAGGGAAGACCGAUUAAGGUGGAGAAUGGGGCCUCGGGUAGGUCGGUGUCCCAGGGGGCCUCUAUAAGAAGGCCAGAAGGACCUGCCCAUCCACGGCUACACGAGGGAAGAGAUCCCAGAAAGAUCCUAGGAUGCAGAGCUGAAAGAGAACUGAGACACCAUUAAGUCCAAAAGUAUAAUUUUCGAGAGGAACAAAAUGAGGUCCAGAUAAGGGUAGAGACAGCCAAUCAAGGUCACACAAGUAACAAAGCCAGGACUUGAACUCAGGACUUCAAAUCCUAACUCCAAAUCCUGACUCCUUGCUCUGACUUCCCUCCCCUCUCAUUAAACAAGGGGACAUCCACAUACAUAAAUAUGUGCGGGCAUGAGCAAACCACAUGGACAAGAUGUAAGGGAGACCAUCCCUGUGUUUCCCAGGACUGAACCCAUCCCUUGGCACCACACACUCCCUUUGCUGAACUCGGCAUGAAGCCCCGGGGAUCUACCCAUCUAGAGGACAAGGGCUCAGUUUCCGCAAAGGAUCCACGGAGCGUGGAGGGAUUCUGGGCUGCUGAGUGGAAGCCAAGUUCAUGGACUCCUUGAAAUCUACCCACAGAUCCCAGCUUCAGAAACCUUAAAACUUCGGAGGGAGGUCUGAGCAGGAAUGAUAUUCUUACAAAGAGGUAAAGGAGCUGACAGUGCUUAAAUGAAUUCCUGGGUGAUAUGGUCUCCAGUUUGGGUGGCCCUCCCCUAGAACCAUCAAUGCAAUAUAUCCAUCCACCUCCUCCUCUGCUUCCCAUAUCCGAGGCUUUCUAACCCACAGCCAAGGGCCCUCCUGACAAUGCCAAGGCUGACUCUCCUUCUGCCGUGUUCCUCUGACCUAGAGUCACCGUGCCAUAAUGGAUGGAGUACUGGACUUGGGAGUCAGGAAGACCUGGGUUCAAAUCCCUCUUUAGAUACUAAAUGUGUGAUCCUGAGCAAGUUACUGAACUCUCGGCCUCAAUUCCUCAGCUAUAAAAUGAUGUGGUUGGCUUAGAUGGCCGUGAAGGUCCCUUCUAGCUCUAAAUCUGUAACUCCAAUAUGUUAGGAUGGCUCUAAAGAAAGGGACCAAUGAUGCCAAGAACUACCCUAUAUAGCAGGAGGGGCCUUGACACUCCACACAAGCCCCUAGCUGAGCCCUUUCUUCUGCUUCCUCAGUGAACUGAUCACACAGAAGCACUGGGACCUCACACCCAAACAACCUAGUAUGGGAAAGAGAUUUCAGUUGCAUCUUUUAGGAGGGAGGAGCUGGAGGGUGGCAGAGGAUAGAACUCAGUGACCGAAUCAGAAUCAAAUAAACAAGUGCCUAUUAUAAUAACAGCUCCAAAUUGCAUGCAGAGGGUGUGUGUGGGGGUGGUAGGUUUCAAAGUUUUUCCGCCCAUUCUCUCAGCCCGCACCCAGAACAACCCUGGAAGGAAGGCUGGCCAGGCAUAAUUAUCCCCAGUCUACUGUAAGCCCUAGGACUCUGGAUGCCUAAUCCAGUGCUUAUCCCAUUGUGUGCUGGGCCCUGGGUUCCAAGCUGUAGGGGACACAGAGUAGAAUGAAACUGGGUUUCUCCUGCCCUUGAGGUGCUCAUCAUCUAGUUGGGGAGACACGAAAUACAGCAAUGAAAAUCUUGGAUGGCAGGUCCAGGCAACAAGAGAAGAGAAAGCUAACCUCCUAUCCCCUGGUUCCUUUGUUUACCUACCUCCUGAAGCCCAGAGCUGAGGUUUCUGGUGGUCUUUUAUGCAAAAAUGCUCCUUUAUGGGGAUUUAGGAUCCUAGCUAUAGAGUCAGAGGGGCUUUCAGCCAUCUACUCAUUAGACUUCAAGUUCCCUGAGGGCAGGAACUUUUUUUUUUUU